GACGAACGCUGGCGGCGUGCUUAACACAUGCAAGUCGAGCGGUAAGGCCCUUUUGGGGGUACACGAGCGGCGAACGGGUGAGUAACACGUGGGUGACCUGCCCUCAGCUCUGGGAUAAGCCUGGGAAACUGGGUCUAAUACUGGAUAUGACCUUUCCUCGCAUGGGGUUGGGUGGAAAGUUUUUCGGCUGGGGAUGGGCCCGCGGCCUAUCAGCUUGUUGGGUGGGGUGAUGGCCUACCAAGGCGACGACGGGUAGCCGGCCUGAGAGGGCGACCGGCCACACUGGGACUGAGACACGGCCCAGACUCCUACGGGAGGCAGCAGUGGGGAAGUAUUGCGCAAUGGGCGGAAGCCUGACGCAGCGACG
rnacentral:rRNA from 1 species